UAAGCGGAGGAAAAGAACUAACAAGGAUUCCCCUAGUACUGCGAGUGAAGCGGGAAAAGCUCAAAUUUGGAAUCUGGUGGUCUUUGGCCCAUCCGAGUUGUAAUUUAGAGAAGCNUCUUCCGCGCUGGACCGUGCACAAGUCUCCUGGAAUGGAGCGUCAUAGAGGGUGAGAAUCCCGUCNNGGCAUGGAAUCCCAGGGCUUCUGUGAUGCGCUCUCGACGAGUCGAGUUGUUUGGGAAUGCAGCUCAAAAUGGGUGGUGAACUCCAUCUAAAGCUAAAUAUUGGCGAGAGACCGAUAGCGAACAAGUACCGUGAGGGAAAGAUGAAAAGCACUUUGGAAAGAGAGUGAAACAGUACGUGAAAUUGUUGAAAGGGAAACGCUUGAAGUCAGUCGCGUCGACCGAGACUCAGCCUUGCCUCGGCUUGGUGUACUUCUCGGCUUGACGGGUCAGCAUCGAUUUCAAUCCUCGGAUAAUGGCAAGGGAAAGGUAGCACCUUUUUAGGUGUGUUAUAGUCCUCUGUCGCAUGCGAGGGUCGGGAUCGAGGAACUCAGCACGCACCUCAGGGUGUCGGGGCCUUGGCCCACGUUUACGUGCUUAGGAUGCUGGCGUAAUGGCUUUAAACGACC
rnacentral:rRNA from 1 species